UUCUGGCUCAGGAUGAACGCUGGCGGCGUGCCCAACACAUGCAAGUCGAACGAGGGUGCUUGCACCCUAGUGGCGAACGGGUGAGUAACACGUAGGUAACCUGCCUUAAGCUUGGGAUACCCAGAGGAAACUUUGGCUAAUACCGGAUAACAAUGGAAGAGGCAUCUCUUCUAUUUAAAAGGCCCGUAUGGGUCACUUAAAGAUGGACCUGCGGCGCAUUAGCUAGUUGGUGAGAUAACAGCCCACCAAGGCGAGGAUGCGUAGCCGACCUGAGAGGGUGAUCGGCCACAUUGGAACUGAGACACGGUCCAAACUCCUACGGGAGGCAGCAGUGAGGAGUUUUCGGCAAUGGGGGAAACCCUGACCGAGCAACGCCGCGUGAAUGAUGACGGCCCUAUGGGUUGUAAAGUUCUUUUAUUAGGGACGAAUGAUUAGCUUAGGAAAUGAAGCUAGUUUGACGGUACCUUUUGAAUAAGCCACGGCUAACUACGUGCCAGCAGCCGC
rnacentral:rRNA from 1 species